GCUGUAGUUUGUAUUAAGAAUUUGGAAAAGUUUAACAAGUUGAAGUCUAAAAAAUAAGUUUUAGGUUGGUCAUACUACUUUUAAACAUUGACGAAAACAUGCUCUAUCAUAGAAUCAUCAAUAUAUCGUAAACAUCGAUGCUAAGUCGACAGAUGGCUGAGCUGUCAGUUAAGAAUUGACCCAUUGUAGAGCAAACAGCUCAGUGCUGUCGCUCUAAAUCAGAGGGUUAAACUAAGCAAUAUUCGUUUUCAUGAGUCUGGCACUUUAGCCUUUCGCCGCCCUGUAGUUAAUGUUCUGCAAGACUCUGUUGAGAUCAUCGUAACUUAAGUCUUAAAAUCUGAAAUCAGAAUAUGCCUAAGUAGAGCUGAACCACAUCAGUGAAAAAGGAAUCCAUGUUCAUAUUUUUACUAACAUUUCAUAUUUUAUGUAUUUAGGAAAUAAUGUAGGAACUAAUCACCAUAGUAAUUGGGGCUCAAGACAAGGGCUUCACAAAGAAAGUAGUAGCAGUGAAGGAAGUCCAACCAAUGGCCAUCGAUACAUUCCAAAUUACUCAUCGCAAGAAGAGAGUUACGUACAGACAUAUCCAAAAAUAGUUUCUCAUUCUAACAAUGACCUCAGGUCGCAGGAAAUUCUCUCCAGACGAGCCUCGAUCCUCGGCAGGCGCGCAGCCUCUAGAACCUCAAACAUAAUGUCAGCCGUAAUGCAUCUGGUAUCGGAACUGGACUACUCGGAUUUAGUCGUUCUCGAGGCAGCCAUCCGAAGUAGACUCGAUAAAAUGGAUCAAGACUCAGGAGAAUGAAACUGCCUGAAUGGUCGCACUUUUGUCCGACAGUGGCUUUGAAUCUUGAGGAUAUUCUAGAUUCUCAUACUUCCUCCCUUGUCUUGCCAGCACUUGUUUUCGUUUAAGUUAUCUAGUGUUUGAAGAUGCUUUCAAACAUAAGUUGAGAUGAAAUCGCAACAGAAAGGCUUUUUGCUCCAGCCGUACCAGCCCAAAAGGAACUUAUAUGGAAGGGCUUAUUGUAUUCUUCCAAGUCAUCCUGUUUGAUGUAAUGUUUUUUUUUGCAACUCUUUAAGAGCUCUGAAUGUAUUCCCAAAGUGAAAGCUCUUAUAUCAAGGCUUUAUAACCUGAUGUAAUUGAAUUGAUAACAUGUGACUGUAUACAGAAAAGAGGCCCUUGUGUUCAGAGGUAAAUUUCUAAAGAUAAAAUAGUAAAUUUUCUCAAGUCUGACUGAGGAGUCCAGAUGUGCGUUUUCCAUUAGAAAAAUACGUGCAAGUCCCUAAGAAUAAGAAAAUGGAGUAAAAAAUCAACCAAUUUUCAGUCUGAAGCAUGAAUGGUGAAAGCUCUAGUAAUUUUUUCAUGAAACCAUGGUUUUUAGAUAGCUAACUUUAUAUCCUCACAAUGUUGGUUUGAUUUGACUCGACUUUUUGGGAUUUUUAUUGCACAGAACUGUUUAUGAAACAAUGCAACUUAAUUUUGUUAUUAUGUGAUAAUAAUGUUUUCUAUGACUGCUUGAGCACAAUGAACUUUUUAAAUUGCUUGUGCCAAUGUCGAGAAAAGUGGAUUUUUUGGCAUUUUUACAAACGUUUCCUUUUAGAGGUGUAGGACUUGAGCUGUGUGGUGAAAUUCAGGAGAAAAAACCGUGAAAAAAAUGUGUUGCAAAAUGGCUACUAAAUAAUUCGUGUAAAAAUGCGGGAAAAUUCACAAACCAACCCUGGUUCUCUUGAAAUUGGCACGGAGAAAGUUUGAUUCCAAAAAUCACAUUGUGCACUGGAAGUCGUUAAAGACAUCAUUUCAAAUAAUGAAGAAAUUUAGGCGGCGUCAAAAUCUUGUGGCAUUUUUUGCUGGGUCCCUUUAAGUACCUUGGCAUUAAGGUCUCUUUUCUCAUAUGUUAUUUUAUCUGAGAAGUAAAGCCCACUUGUGCUUAGCUGCCAUGAGUGUGAUAACUCUCUUUGGUUUCACUAGAAAUUUUGCCUUUUCAAAUGAAAAAUUCCCUAUGAUGCCCUCUUUUUAGCCAACAAGCACGGUAAAUGCAUGCUUUUCUGGCUCGCGAUUUCAACCGUUCCUUAGGAGGUGUCACAUUAUCAAAAAUUACUUUCCAGUUGUUUUUACCAGUUGACGUAACUUGUUCCAAAAUACUAUUGGUAUAGUAACAAAUCAACUAAUUAUUUAAAAAAAAAAUUGAUUUUGUUUCAUCUAUAGACCAGUCUUGAAAGGAUGGUUUUCAACAAAACUUCUGAAGAGUCAUAUCACCCCUGAAAGCCAUUGAAUAAAAAUAAUAUAAAAGAAAGCAUAUGUCUUAUUUUUAAAGGUUACCCUUUUUGACGUAUUUUAAAACAAUCAAUAUGCUGUUACAGGUUUUUUUAUUUUUAUUUCAUGUUUUGUCAAACUGAAGUAUCUAUUUAUUGCACCAAUUCGAAGGAAAGGAAAAAAGAAAACAACUUUAGAUUAUUGAAUUGUCAAGAGUAUACAAGUGAUGUGUAGUGUUAUAACAACGAAUUGGUCGUAACGAUGUGAUUUGGUCGGUCCUGCAGCUGAAAUCCCAUUCAUUCAAUGAAUUUAUGCAUCAGUUAAAACAAUCAAAUAAGGCUGGUCCUUAAGAAGUCGUUGUAUCUGAUUGCCACUGUCAUUUUCAAUUUCAUUUUACAUAUUUUUAUUAAUGGACUAUCGAAGGAAAAUUUCAAAUUUUAUUUAAAUAGACUGAGAGUAUUUUCUUUUCAUUUCUUGGGGAGGUGAUAAGAAUAAUUUAUUUUUAGUAAAAAUUUACCAGAGCAAAAUACAGAUAUUGCAUAUUACGCUAAGAUGAUCCUUUUCAGCUUAGAAGUAUGGCAUCCUAAACAAGGAUGUAGCCAAGCGCAAGUCAGAAAGCAACGUGUGCACGAAAUCUGUCUGUCAUGAAAGCAAUAUGCCCAACACUUUAGGUCCUUAUCGGUUUAGGCAGGACUUACUGAUAUAGCAAGCCAAAUUUCUGAAGAGUGUACCUCAGUGUUUUGUUUAAGAUGCUGUACAUUAAAAUUCCUACUCAAAUAUGGUUGCGCCCUAUUUGAAGAAUUUUAAAACUGCAAGGCAACUUUUAUACUUCAAAAGCAGGGAAAGCGGUAAAUUUGUCUAGAAUUUUCAGAAUGCAAUAAUUUGAUUCAAAACAUCUUUCAAAUUCGUCUGUAUUUUCAGUAACAUUUUAAUUUUUUUACACCGAACUAAUUAUUAGAACUAUAAGCAAUUAAUACUGUUAUUUUUGUG
rnacentral:lncRNA from 1 species